GCAAAUUCCAGGGGGCAAGAGAGCCUCACGUUGCCUCAAGCCUGAAUUGGACAGAAUUCUGCAAGGGGCUCCCAAGUUCGCUCCCUCACACCGUUUAUUUCACGCUGAUUCCCUGGUGACCAGGACACUGCAUCGUGACCCUGCCGACGGCCCAUGAUGCUGGCUCCUGGGACCUCUCACAAGAUCUACCGCAUUUUGUCAAUGAUGGCCACCCGGGUUUGCAGGAAAGGGGUCACAUCCACGUUGGCCGAUCCCGGCUGAAACCCCAGCCUGUGCCCACUGCUGACUUCUGGUCCCGCUGGAGUGAAUAAAGGCUUU